GGAAUUUUGGACAAUGGGCGAAAGCCUGAUCCAGCCAUGCCGCGUGAAUGAUGAAGGCCCUAGGGUUGUAAAAUUCUUUCAGCGGGGAAGAUAAUGACGGUACCCGCAGAAGAAGCCCCGGCCCACUCCGUGCCAGCAGCCGCGGUAAUACGGAGGGGGCUAGCGUUGUUCGGAAUGACUGGGCGUAAAGCGGGUGUAGGCGGGUCUUUAAGUCGGGGGUGAAAUCCCAGGGCUCAACCCUGGAACUGCCCUCGAUACUGGAGACCUAGAGGUCGGGAGAGGUGAGUGGAAUUCCGAGUGUAGAGGUGAAAUUCGUAGAUAUUCGGAGGAACACCAGAGGCGAAGGCGACUCACUGGACCGAUUCUGACGCUGAGACCCGAAAGCGUGGGGAGCA
rnacentral:rRNA from 1 species